rnacentral:misc_RNA from 1 species
UAUGAAGAGUAUGAGUAUGACUCGUGCGUGUGGCAGGGAUGCGGUAGUGGCGCGCGUGUUUACAGAACCUGGCGUACACAUGCUAGUUCUUAUGGCUGUGUAUCCGUGUGUACUCUUGUGUAUGCGUGUCCACCACUGACAGUGACUGUGUGAAGGCCUUGUGGUGAUGGUAGAGGUAGUAGACAGCAGCUAGUGGAGUGAAGGCAGUGCGGAGGGCAGCUUGGGGGCCGGCGAGGACGCGUCACCAGGACUGGGGGCUAGGCAAGAUGGCGAUCCUAGGCCCUGUGACGUGCUCGUGCAGAAGAAUACAAGAUUAGCUGCAAGGGAUGGGAACCUCUGAAAUCUAUCAAUACUGUAUGUGAAAACCUACAAUACAGCUUUACAGCAUAGAAUGCUCUCAAUCGUGUAAAUGCGUUUUCAUUGAUGAUGGAUCACAGCUAUGUCAGCCGCCAGCAUCCUCCCGUGGAACAGGAACCAUCUAGUAAUGUGCCUCGGAGUGAUCUUGUGCCUUUGGUGAGGAUACAGUGGUAAGGGGUGUUUGGUACCCGCCUGCUGAUGGAAAAUACAGAGGUGUGAAUCUGCAGCUGACCCCUGCAGGAGGUUGCCUCAUCAUCUAUUGAAUAAUCUCAGUCACUGACCUUUCAUUCAGUUUAUCACCAUUUUGAGUAUGAAGUGAGGUGGUCUGGGUGCUCCACAGAUCGCACCAAAUGGUCGUGGGAUCAUUUCCUGCAUAAGGUCCCCUGCUGGAAGACGUACUGGACGGACUCGUAGUGUUUCUGAAUCUGGCCAAUGCCAGAUAUUUGCUCCAGAUGCUUCUCCAAGGUUAACCUCCUUAGCAACACCUGGACGCACAUCUGGUAAUACCCUUCAUGA